GCACAACACUAGGGGUGCCGCCAGAAGCGGUUGAGAUGGAUCUGUUCGGUCUGGUCCCUUGGAACCUGUAAGACAAUGCUUGCGUAGGGAAAGUGACAGUGAGGGUGU
rnacentral:ncRNA from 2 species